AGACGGAGUCUCUCUCUGUCGACAGGCUGGAGUGCAGUGGUACCAUCAUGGCUCACUGCAACCUCCGCCUCCCGGGUUCAAGUGAUUCUCCUGCCUCAGCUUCCGGAUUCUCCUGCCUCAGCCUCUGGAUUCUCCUGCCUCAGCCUCUGGAAUAGCUGGUACUACAGGCGCCCGCCACCAUGCCCAACUAAUUUUUGUAUUUUUAGUAGAGAUGGGGUUUCACCAUGUUGGCCAGGAUGGUCUUGAUCUCUUGACCUUGUGAUCCACCUGUCCUGGCCUCCCAAAGUGCUGGGAUUACAGGCAUGAGCCACCACCCCCAGGCCACUUGUGUCUUAAUUCCUCUUGAUAGUGCAUUUUAGUUUGUGUCACCCACCUCUGUAAGUUGAAAUACUUUUACCAUUUCAGUAACUUGAAAACAAACUGCUCAUUUUUCUUCUUUAUCAGUUAUGAAACUAAAUAUAUAAAAUCUUAUCCCUAGUCAUCCAGGAUUGACUGCUCCUUCUUCACAAGGGUCUCUGCAGGUCCCAGUAUACCAAACACACAGUAUUAAUCAAUAUUCAUGGAGUGAAUGAAAAAAAUGAAUGAAUGAAAGUGAUAUAUUUGCUACCUUACAGAUAACAUGUGAGUAGUUCUUUGUUUUAAUUUUAACAUUUAUUAAGCUUUUGCUAUCUAGAUACAGUUACUGUAUCUGAAGUAGAGAAAAAUGUUGUUUUUCCGGCUGAGCACCAUGGCUUACGCCUGUAAUCCCAGCACUUUGGGAGGUCAAGGUGGGUGGAUCACCUGAGGUCAGGAGUUUGAGACCAGCCUGACCAACAAGGUGAAACACUGUCUCUACUAAGAAUACAAAAAUUAGCCAGGUGUGGUGGCAUGCACCUGUAGUACCAGCUACUCAGGAGGCUGAGGCAGGAGAAUUGCUUGAACCUGGGAGGCAGAGGUUGCAGUGAGCCAAGAUCAUACCACUGCAUUCCAGCCUAGGUGACAGAGCAAGACUCCUUUAAAAAAAAAAAGAGAAAGAGAGAAAGAACGGAAGGAAGGAAGGAAGAAAGAAAGGAAGAGAAAAGUGUUGUGUUAUUUUAUUUUUACAAAAUUUUAUUACAGGUUGUCCCCAGAUAAGACAUGGCCUCAAUUAUCAGCUAAAAUGUACUUGUAAAAAUGGUGGCCUUUGCAAUUCUGCAGAUAGAAGGUCUAUCUGUGGCCUUGGGUGGACAGGAAAUUAUUGUGAAAAAAGCAAGUUGAUUCACUGCCUUUUUUCCCUCAAUAAAGAUCUACUUUAGGCCGGACGCAGUGGCUCACACCUGUAAUCCCAGCACUUUGGAAGAUUGAGGUGGGCAGAUCAUGAGGUCAAGAGAUCGAGACCAACCUGGCCAAUAUGGUGAAACCUCGUCUCUACUAAAAAUACAAAAAUUAGCUGGGCAUGGUGGCGGGCGCCUGUAGUCCCAGCUAUUCUGGAGGCUGAGGCAGGAGAAUUGCUUGAACCCUGGAGGCGGAGGUUGCCGUGAGCUAACAUUGCGCCCCUACACUCCAGCCUGCCAACAGAGCAAGACUCCGUCUCAAAAAUAAAAAAAGGAUCUACUUUUGAGAAUACUGUCAUUGGUUGAUAAAAUACAGCAGAAACUUGUGAAGAAGCUAUUUUCCAUAUUCACCUGGCAUGUUUGGAGAUGAUUGCCAUCAACUUUGUGACUGUGAAGGAGAAACCUUCUGCCACCCAAAAACUGAAAAAUGCCUCUGCCCCCGUGGGAGAACUGGAGCCAGAUGUGAUGCUGGUUAGUCUCCUGUAUUGGGCGUUCAGCAUGGAUGUUGCCUUUUUCUGACCUCAAGACAACUAUCCAACUUUCCCUGUGUCCUUCACGAUGCAACCACUAAAGCUCUACUGAAGUCUCUAAUUCUGAGAAGGCACCUUAAAAAUUUGAAUCUAAUAACUUGCUUGGAUCAUAUGGCUCCUAAGUGGAGCAGAACUCAGGUUUGCCUCAUUCCAGAGGCCACGUUCUUGACUACAGCAUGCAUGCAAUUAUAAAACACUACCAUCGAGGAUGAAAAUCUAUACCCGUAAAUUUUGGAAAGUAAUAAAAUUUUGAUGAAUCCAAGUCAGAAUGAGUUCAUACUCCAGUUGCUAAUCAAGACACACACAGGAGGAAGAAUUUCGCAGAAACAUGACUUUGAAUCCAACAUACGUCCUGUACCAAUUGAAUGGUGCUGGCCACUAGUUUAACACAUCUGUCUCAGGAAGGGAAUAAUGAUGUUCUAUCUACCUUAUGGGUUAAUGUGAACAUUUUCAUAUUACGAUUAUUAAGCAGUACAGGUUGUUUGGCUAAUUAUAUAUGAAUCAGGUGAAGGCAUUUCGUAAAUUAUUUGCCUCAGUCUUGGACUUAGGAAACCUUAGCUUGCGUCCCAACUCUACCUCUGGGCAGUUUUGUGAUCCAAGCACACUUAAUCUUUUGAACUUCAUUUAUUCAUCUGGACAGAGAGGGACAAAAUUCCUCACUCAAAGUUACAGUGGUUUAAAUGAAAACAAAAAGCCCAUCAUGUGGAACACAUAGAUGAUAAAUAUAAGUUGAAUCUGAACUAUAGAAUAUAAGUUUUCCACCUGUUAAUAGUAAUACCAUUAACAACAAUAAUAAUGGCACACAGAUUUCACAAUCUUAAUGUUGGGGCUCAGAACAUAAUAACCCAAAAGAUGGCACCUUAGUGUACUAUUUUAAGUUGAAGGAACUUGAAAAAAAUCACAGAAGCAGGAGUCUCUGACCUCCCUCCCUUCUCCCCUGAAGACCCUAAUGUGACAGGUGUUCUGCCCUGACUGUGAAGAGAAGAAGUGUCACACCUCUCAGAGAGGCUAAGACGAAUCUGGACAGACAGUCCUUGCUAUGUUUCUUCCAGUUUAUUACCAUUAGAUCAUACACUUUUGUCCUCCAAUCAUACUUCUUCUGCACAACUAUUCAUAAAAUACAGAGUUUCCCUGUGUUUUUGGCUCUUCAUUUCUGACAGCUUCUAUGUCAUGUAGAACUAUGGUUAAAUAAAUUUGUUAUGUUUUUCUUUUGUUAAUCUGUUUUUCAUUACAGGGGUCUCAGCUAUGAGCCUUGUGAUGGGUUGAAGAAAACAUGUUACUUUACCUCCCCUUCAUUGCUGAGUGCAGAAAGCUGGUCUAAGCACUGGAUUUUACAGUUCUCCUGUCUAUGGCAUGUGUUUGUAUUUCAGAAGUGAAGUAAAAGAAAUCCACAUUUUUAAUAUUAUCAAGGAAACAUACCCAAACAGCUGAAUUAUCCCUCUAGUAUUUACACAUUUGAGUAGAAUAGGUUUUCUAAAUAUCUAAGUUGCCUAAAAUUCUAAAUAUCUUUAUGAAGUUCUUUUUGUUAGAAGAUAAUCGGUUAUGGGUAUUUGAAAGAAAAGUUUCUAGGACUUUUUGGUUGUUUCCUAAAAGUAUGGUGUUACAAAAAUGUUUGCUUCCUACUCACAGUCAGUGAGAGGUAAGGGUAUCGCACUCAUUGGGGAUCACCCAAAGAAUACCCUGGACCAGGGGACUUGGAUGUUUAGGAAGAUUGUUCAGAGAAUGGUUUUGACCAUUUCUGAGUGAGAUAAUAUAGAGAAUAAUGGGGAUGGAGGAAGGAACGGAUAGCAUGGGUUAUGUCUGGGUGAUUAGAUGGAUUGUCGGAAUCAGAACCCAUCUUAUUCUCUGUAAUUUGUCUGAAGCUCCCACGAGCCUCAAGUCAAGGGCCCUGCCCCACCACUUAUUGUACAUAAUUAACACAUUGUGGUAAAUUAAACAAGUCACUAUUUUCUGUCACUUCUGAUUCUACUUAAAUCAGAGACUUUAUCACGAACAAUUUGCCACUCUUUAGCAUUGUUCUCAAGGGCAAUUUGCCCCAUUGAUUCUUUGCACAGAAAGUCAGGACCUUCUGGCAAUACAGGAAGAAGGUGGGAGUCAGGUGGGUUAAAAGUAGAGAAGAAAAGAAAAACCAACACCUUUGACCUGUAGAAUGUGGGACAAAUAUGUUGGCAAUGUAUAAUAGAAUCCAAGGUUGAAAGGGAUCUUUUAAAACAAACUGUUUUAGUUCUCACUCAGUGGAGCAAUCAUUUUUAUUACCAUAUGUCUGAUAUCCACCCCACCUCUUCUUGAAUGCCAUCCACAAUUCUUGAGUAUCAGUCUGUUUCUUUGUUGCUAGAAAUGUCUUUCUUAAGACAAGUGCUGUCGUUAUAGAACCUCUAGUCUUGACAAUCCUCUACUUGACAGUUCUAAUAGUUGAAGGUAGCUUUCAUGUUUCAUUACUCUUUUUCUCUGAGUAAAAAAAUCAGUGCUUUAAUAGCUCUGAUAUUGUUAACCAACCUCCUCUGAAGAUAAACAGUAAGUUCUUUUUGUAAUUGCCAAAGCCAUGGGGCUGUGGUUUAAAGUACAUUAUUAUGGAAAAUUUAAUUUUUUAAAUUAUGUAAGUAAUAUAUGUAUUUUACGCCAAAUCAUUCAUAAUCCCACCCUGAAAUAACCGCUGUUUACAUUUUCAUGUGCUUUUCUUUAUGUAUUUUAUAUCGUUUAGAAAAAUAGGUUAUAUAAAUAAUUUUGAGUCCUGCUUUGUUUCCAAUGUUAUGGUUCCAACAAUUUUCUGUGUCUUUAAUGCUCUUUUAGAAGAUGUCAUCAGCAAUUCAUCCUAAAUCCAGUAUUCUUUUCUGAUAAUACCUUCUUCUUAACCUCUUCACCCUAAGUAUCUGCAAAGAUUCUUUUUAAAGUAGUUAGUCAACAUCAGGAAGAUGGCUACAAAGACUUGAAGAGCUGGCCUGGUAAUCAUUGAUAACAAAACACUUCAGGUACAACAGAAAGCCAAUGCUUUUUAUUUAAAAAGUUAGCUUAAACUGAGAACACUUUCUUCUUUGUUGACUAAAUCUUCCUUCUUGAAAAGACAUUUCUUAAGCAGAUAAAGAAAUUUACACCCUCAGUUCAUAAGGUAUUUAAUGUUUAUAUUCUCAUGAUGACAAACUGAGAGCCAUUAGCACAAGGAGACUCUCUCCUGAUGACAGAGGUGGAUCUCCAGUGAAAGGAACCAAGUGAAGGUAAAGCGGUACAAGGCUUUGUAACCAUAGUUACUUUAAGUCUAAGAUUUUAAAGCUAUUGUUUCCAUUAUGAAAGAUGCAUUAACAUUCCUUUAUGUCUACUCUUGGAAACCUUGUUAUCAUGACUAGCCUAUUUACUUACUUAUCUCUUAAGAGGUGGUUAGGCUUAAUUAAUUCUUAAACAUUAACCUUGAAGAUAUAUUCUGGAGGGUGGGAGAAGGGUUUUACUCUUUGAAAAUGGGAAGGAGUAAACUCAGUGAAAUGCUCAAAUUCUGAGAGUAGCAGAAACUUUACCUUAUGGACUUCUUUAAGAAUUUGCUUCUACUUAAUCCAGAAAAUUCUGGAAAUGCCCUCUUAUGUCAAUAUGCAUGCACCUAAAUGAAGUGAAGGGUGAAAUGGGGGUACUUUGGAAAGCAGUCCUAAAAAGCAACUUGUUAUGUACUUAGCAGCUAAUCAUUCUUUUAGUUGUAACAGCUGUUUUCUUGUAAAUGGUAAAAAUAUUCAUGGUAAACUACGGGAAUCAUUCAUACAUUCAUGACAAUGAAGUAGGAUGUUCUUUUAUGACUAGGCUAUUACCACAUUAAGAGAAACUGCUGCCUCAGAUUUUUUCUUUUCCCCUUUGUAGCAAAUAUUCUGACAACCACACAAUUUUAUCAUUUGCAUUGAGAGGCUGGCUACAGUAAACUACUAUAUCAUUGUAAAAAGCACUCUCUCAUUGCUACUUCCAUUUUUGAAGAAGGAAUACUAGUGUGAGUUGUUCCUAAUUGUUUAUAAUAAAUUUUCAGCGUAAGAAGUUUUCACCUUACUUUUCAAAAACAUUCUGAACACCAGUGUUAGCCUUACUAAAGACUUUUUUCUGAAGUUGUUUAUUGCCUUGCAGAGCAAGAGGAACUUAACUCUCACUUAAAGCAGGCCUAUAUAAUUUAAUAUGAUAAUCUUCCUCAAUUAGACUCAACAUGCUUACCCGAGUACUGUGCAUCCAGGAAAUUUUAGCUUGGACAUAAUUUUCUCAGAGAAGCCUUCUGUUUCUCUGCACUAAAACAGCCAUGCUACCAACACACUCUCUGAUCAUAUUUUAAGUCCUCCUAGCACCCUAAUUUUCUUUAUAUGACUGAGCACAUUUUAAAUUCUUACUCAAUUCUUGUCUUUUCCACCAAGUUUAAAACUAUGUCAAAGUAAACUAUCAUCUGUGCUUUCCUAGUGUUGUUUCCUCAGGACCAUGCAUAGUGCUUUGCACAUGGCUGGCCUUAGAUAAAUGUUUGCUGAAUGAAUAAAAUUGAUGCAUUAACUGUACUGUGUUAUGUUCCUUGAAGCAUGAACUUUUCCAUAAUACCACUUUAUCAGUUUUGUUUGAGAAAAAAAGAUGAGGAGUGCAACUCUGUGCUUUGGAAAGCAAAAUCUAGAAUAUCUGACUUGAUGCAUGCCCAUAGUUAGUGACAUAGUCUACCAUCUUGGAUUAAGCUUGAGACUUUCUCCCUCUCACGCCAACCUCUAUUCCAUCUCAGGAAGAGUAUAAACAUAAACCAAGGGCAGUAUUGGGUCAUAAGCAAGAAUAUGAAACCUUUCAUUUGACAAUAGAAGUUAAAACAUUUUGUGUUCCCAUAGUAAAUAUUGUGAUUGGGAAGAACUAUUUGACUCCUUGAGAAGAUUAUAGAGUUUUUCAAUUCGACUGUUUCCUUGAGAAUAAGGAAAGAAAUUCAUUAUUACAACUGAAAAUGAAUGAAUGAAGAUCCAGGGUAAAUGUAUUCUGGAAAUAAUAUUUCAUGGAAGAUACUCCCCCUUUAUUCUAAGCACUGCCAAAAAUGAUUUGAUGCUGAAUGUAACAUUCAGGGCAAAAUAAUAAGAUCAAAAGGGGUGUAUUAUAGUUAUAUUAAGCUAGUCUGAUCCUUUGAAAUCUGUGUAAAAGGCCUGACAAAGCAGUAAUUUUUACAUAUGGA
rnacentral:lncRNA from 1 species